GCGGGAAAAGCUCAAAUUUAAAAUCUGGCAGUCUCUCUUUUUUUCUUUGGCUGUCCGAGUUGUAAUCUAGAGAAGUGCUUACCCGUGCUGGACCAUGUAUAAGUCUCCUGGAAUGGAGCGUCAUAGAGGGUGAGAAUCCCGUCUUUGACAUGGACUUGCCAGUGCAUAGUGGUGUGCUCUCAAAGAGUCGAGUUGUUUGGGAAUGCAGCUCUAAAUGGGUGGUAAACUCCAUCUAAAGCUAAAUAUUGGCGAGAGACCGAUAGCGAACAAGUACCGUGAGGGAAAGAUGAAAAGGACUUUGGAAAGAGAGUUAAACAGUAUGUGAAAUUGUUGAAAGGGAAACACUUGAAGUCAGUCGUGUCUGCUUAGGGAUCAACUCAGCUCAUUUUGCUGGGUGAACUUCCUAGUGUGACAGGCCAACAUCAGUUCUGACUGUUGGAAAAGAGCAGAGGGAAUGUGGCACCUUUGGGUGUGUUAUAGCCUUUUGUCAUAUAUAGCAGUCGGGACUGAGGAAUUGCAGCGCGCCGCAAGGCAGGGUCUUUGACCACGUUCGCGCUUAGGAUGUUGGCGUUUAAUGGCUUCAAUUGACCCGUCUUGAAACACGGACCAAGGAGUCUAACAUGCCUGCGAGUGUUUGGGUGAAGAAACCCUUG
rnacentral:rRNA from 1 species